rnacentral:lncRNA from 1 species
AUCAAAUUUAAGAAUUAAGAAACGAAUGUGUAAUUAUUUUUCGUCAUUCAAAAUCAUGAGGAUUAUUGAGAAUUAUAAAAGAGUAUUUUAUUGAAGAAUUCAGUUAUUUCUCAACAAAGUUUUAUUUUUUUUUUUUUUGAGGGAUGAGAUCAAUUCAGAAGUGCCUUAAUUGGAUCUUUUAUUAAAAUAGAUUUAUCUUUCUUAUUUCGUUAUUUGUAGAACAGACAGAAUUGAAUUGGUCUAAUUCAGAAAUAUGCUUCCAUCCACUCACUAAAUAAAUUACUAUCAGGAACGGAAAAAUCCUUUAAAAUUUUUGCAAGUCCCUUUUUCAUAGCACAAAAAAGAAGAAUAGGAAGAAAAAUAAUAAGAAAUCAAAA